rnacentral:lncRNA from 1 species
UCCAGCUUCCUCAAUCCUCAAGGUCGUGUGAAGCUUAGCUUGAUAGGCGUAAGAGCUAGGCAAAACGAUAGCGAAGGGGAUUUCAAUCUUCAAAAACUAAUGAAGAAGAAGAUGGUUUAAGGAUUUUUUUUGAGGAGGAUUUUAAUUUGGGGUAAAGGUUGGAUAGGGAAAAUAAAAGGUUUUGAGGAGAAAGUAAAAGAGUUUAGGGGGUAAAA